rnacentral:rRNA from 1 species
GCUCUUUGUCAGCGGGCUGAGACACGGGAGGAAGCGGGCGGCGGCGGGAAGCAGGGAAGUGGCGGUGGCGAGGUAGGGAAGCGGCGGCGGGACCGGUUGCUCGGAGGGAGCUAGACAAAGAAUUCUAGAGAGCUCUGGCGGGGUCGGGGCUCUGUCCAUCGGUGGCUCUAGACUCUAGCCUCUACUCGGCGGAGGCGACUCCUUGCUCUCCUCGGCGGCGGAGGUCCAGCAGCAACACGGUGUGGCGGCGGAGGUCCAGCGGCGGCAGUGCGUGACGGAGUCCACAAGCAAAACGUGUACAAGUAUCACCCGUUGGAGCUCCAGUAGGAGUGAAGCUCGCGCCGCUCUAGGAGUUCCAGCAGUAGUAGUGUCUGUUCCCGUGACCGUCUAGGUUACCGCCGUCUAAGCUCCGCCUCCGCCGGUAAUCCCGCACGAAGUCAGGCAUGGGCUACUAACCGCCGGCCUCCCGUUGACGUUGGAGCGUACGGAGCCCAGGUCUCCAGGUUCCGUGGUGUUGGUUGACGGAGAAGUCGGUAUACGACCCACAGGCACAACUUGCAUCGUCUACCAACGGGAAGUUCGUAGUUGUUUAACCUUUAAAGUUCGGGACUACUCUAAUGUUCGUCCCGUCUUUCCCUUAGUUGUGGUAGUGCGGUUUUGUAACUUCCACUUAUUCACUUGGUAAUAAAUUCAUUUAUCUGCUUAGUAUAAAACAAUCUUGAUUGGUCAACGACGAUUAUAUUAGGAGAGGUCCUUCUAGUCAAAGUCUGUUAUAUUAGACGAUAAAUGAAAGAUUAAAGAUACAUAAAUUCGUACAAGUUUGAGUCAUGUUAACAUGUUUACCUAUAUAAAACUAAACCACUGAACGAUUUCUGCUAACAAGACCUGUCUUGGACCUGGAAUACUAUAGAUGGAUAUAUAUACAAAGACCGGCGUACAGAUGAAUAAGAGAAUUCCGGUGUCAUCCUGGCUAGCUGUGAUCUAUAUAGAUUAUUGACAUAGUACCAAAAGCGUUUUUUUUAAUUUUUUAUUGAUAGUACCCUAGUGUACGGUAAGAAAAACGACUUUUUAGUGGACCGAAAUAACCUUUACUUAAUGGUCCUGUCUAGGACACGUGUAAUACGAACCGAUUGUGGAAAGUAAAUAGUGUUUGACUACCCCUUAUUUGUGAUUCAUACGUACAGAAAGAUAGGAAGACUAGUAUCGGUAGAAACCACAGUUCACUAUAAUUUUAAGACUUUGAUGUGUGUGUAUCAAAUCCCCAACAGGUAUGUUAUUAGACGUAUUCAUACACAGAUAUUUUAGUCGUCGUCACCAACAAGGAAAUCCAACGAUCUUUACGAAAAUCGAUGUUGUAAUAAAGACAGUUUUUGUAAGGUCGACGGUGUACACAUGAGCAAAGUAACACAUCGCAUAAAGGCUUUUACUAUUAAGGAUGCUAAGUUUCAAAAACCUGUUUCAAACUUUGAGCUUCCUGCUGACGGCAUCAUCCUGCUUCUUUACUACAGCGCGUGACCUCCCACAACGGCAGCCAGCACGCAAUCCGCAGACAAGAUGACUUUCAGCGAGGGUCCUCCCGCAGGUACCAGAUACGGAGCUCUUCGUUUCUUCCCUGAGGUUGAUGUAGUAACUGUGUCGUCGGCUCGUCUCGUACUUUCGUACAGCAACUAUGUUUAUAAGUCAACGGUGCCGGUAACUAUGUUGUCGCCCCGUCUAGUACUUACAGUCUCUGUGCCACCUCCACUGCGAUGGAAAGAGCAGAACCGUAGUACGUCUAUGACCAUCAAAUCUACAAUAAACGGUGUGGCGCCUCUAGAGUACAAGUUCGGGUAGCCUUCACGUAUUAAAACCACUUCCAGCUACAUUUACUAAAAUGAACUCAACUGUGAAGAGGAGGCCAGAGUAAAUGGUAGUCAUAACCUUAACCUACAGCAAGGAUAAUGUGUUGUUUUACCCGUUCCAAUCCAACGCCAAGUCACACCGUAAGACCGUAUACAAAGCCCCAUGACCUCCUCUAGGAAAACCACGUGGAUGUUUCUUGACCGGAACCCUCCUACCGUGUUUAAGGGACCGGUACCGAUUCUCUUCUUCAUACCCUUAAUGGACUAGAACACAGAAUCCAGGUACCGACCUUAGUUGUUGAAUACGAAGCUAAAGACAAAGCCACUAUAGAGUUAAGCUCAAGUACUUCUUCGAACCUCAACUGUCCACCACGAAGGUACUGUCCCUGUAGCGGGGACUACCCUUUUGUGAGCGCCAUACUAAAAUAAUCUUACUAAGAACUUCAACGUUCAACGUUGGAGCUCAAUCCCCUUAACUCUGCCCAUCACUGGCUGUAAUCUCGUCCAAAUAAUACUAACAUAAAUGUUCCCAUGUACUGAUACAAAAGUUGUGUUCCUUAUACCAAUAACUACCAAAUGCGGGGCCGACGCGGGUGUAGCAGGGCUGUGGUUCAAGUUCUGGUUCAAGAUUGGGGACAUGGGUUAGAUGGAGGUACCUAGCACAGAGAGUGAUGGGUUCUCGUAGUUAAGUUGAGUUAUCUAACUGUUUUCUCUACUUGGAUCUCAAACUCCGAACCCAUCACACCUGUAACUGGAUUACUACUCACAACAUACCACCAGUUCACCACGGUGAAGGGGAGCGGUGUGCGACGAAUCAGACGAGUAACUUCCACGAGAGACAACCACAAACCGACGACGACGAUGACAUCCAGUUCCCGUACGAUACUAAUGAAACCACCUCUGUAUAAAUUCUUACCACAAUAGUGACUUACGGGGACUACAGACGGUUCUUCUUCCCUCGUUCGCCGUCUUCUAAUACUAUAACGAUGAUAACCCUCUACGUCAGUUUAUACCUGUUCAAGGACAUAAAAUACCUUCCACAUCAUAACUUCGAAGAACGUGACUAGAUCUUACCUAGAACUGAAGCGGGUUCUCACUCUACACUUUCGCGUACAAUGUAUUCUUUAGUAAUAGAGACUUCGUAUGAGUGUAACCUGGUUCUUGAUCCGCUCCAAGUCUGAAGUCUCUUUACUAUUGUUCAGAGGAAAAGUAAGCUCGCCCCGCUACUCCCUUUCUUGACCAACACCACUUUCAGUCAAAUCACGUAGUUCCUAACCUCCAAGACUCUAAACGUUCUCCACUACCUCCUACAAAUCAAUGAAACCGAGGACUAUCUCAUGACCUUCUACUCAUGUUCGUAUUCGAAUAAGUUUUAGACUUCAAGGACUGACGUACUCUGUACAUGAGGGAGACAAGGAUUUAUAUUAAGGAAAAUCUCUAAGGUGAUAUCUCUGAUCUAAGCCUACAUAUAUCUGCGGAAAAUCUCAUAUACAAACGAGUAAAACGAGACAUGCAUCAGAUAUCACUUUAGAGGUUUUCUGAAUAUAAAUCCUUGCCUCCCUCAUAAAACAUUAGAAAAAAAAGAAGAAAAAGUAAAAGAAGAUGAAUAAAAGUCAAACUUGCUUGCCUCCCUUGUUGUACUUCUACCCAUCGUGAUAUGUCAAAAUAUCGUCCUUGUAAAACGCUCGAAGAAUUUAAACCAUAGAUACUUAUCAACUAAACAAGCAAAACUAAAUAUCGGAACAUCUACAAGUGGAGAGACGGUCUAAAGGUAUUACCUUACAGCAGGCC